GAUCUUUGCGAUCUUUGCGAUCUUUGCGAUCUUUGCGAUCUUUGCCAACUUAAAGCUGACCUCCCGCAAAUUAUUCAUAACAUAAAAAGGACGGAGAGUUAAGUCGUAGCCGUGAGGUUGAAAUCCCUUUUUAAGUCAGUGAGUCAGGGUCGUCAAGCCCAAAUCCGCGGCGGGACGGACUUCUGUCGUCCAGUGAAUGUACAGCUGACAUAUUGCCUUCUCUUGAC
rnacentral:lncRNA from 1 species